UAGGGAAUCUUCCGCAAUGGACGCAAGUCUGACGGAGCAACGCCGCGUGAGUGAAGAAGGAUUUCGGUUCGUAAAACUCUGUUGUUAGAGAAGAACAGCGCAUAGAGUAACUGUUAUGCGUGUGACGGUAUCUAACCAGAAAGCCACGGCUAACUACGUGCCAGCAGCCGCGGUAAUACGUAGGUGGCAAGCGUUGUCCGGAUUUAUUGGGCGUAAAGCGAGCGCAGGCGGUUAGAAAAGUCUGAAGUGAAAGGCAGUGGCUCAACCAUUGUAGGCUUUGGAAACUGUUUAACUUGAGUGCAGAAGGGGGGAGUGGAAAUCCAUGUGUAGCGGUGAAAUGCGUAGAUAUAUGGAGGAACACCGGUGGCGAAAGCGGCUCUCCGGUCUGUAACUGACGCUGAGGCUCGAAAGCGUGGGGAGCGAACAGG
rnacentral:rRNA from 1 species